rnacentral:rRNA from 1 species
GACGAACGCUGGCGGCGUGCUUAACACAUGCAAGUCGAACGGAAAGGCCCUGCUUUUGUGGGGUGCUCGAGGGGCGAACGGGUGAGUAACACGUGAGUAACCUGCCCUUGACUUUGGGAUAACUUCAGGAAACUGCGGCUAAUACCGGAUAGGAGCUCCUGCUGCAUGGGGGGGGUUGGAAAGUUUCGGCGGUUGGGGAUGGACUCGCGGCUUAUCAGCUUGUUGGUGGGGUAGUGGCUUACCAAGGCUUUGACGGGUAGCCGGCCUGAGAGGGUGACCGGCCACAUUGGUACUGAGAUACGGCCCAGACGCCUACGGGAGGCAGCAGUGGGGAAUAUUGCACAAUGGGCGGAAGCCUGAUGCAGCAACGCCGCGUGCGGGAUGACGGCCUUCGGGUUGUAAACCGCUUUCGCCUGUGACGAAGCGUGAGUGACGGUAAUGGGUAAAGAAGCACCGGCUAACUACGUG